UCCGCAAUAUGAAAUUAAAAUUAAAAAAAAAUCUGUUUUUAUUUGUAUAAAUACUAAAGCUUAAAAAUAUUCACCCUGUAUGAGAGACUGCGACGUUGUUUACAGUUUUAAUAAUUGUUACAAUUUACUUACCGUAUUAUAGUAGUUUGAAAUACAAAAAAAUUAGUAUACUUAUUUCUACAUCUUUAGAGAAUCCAUUGUGACGUCACAAUCUUAGUCCCACCUAUUUAUGAACGUCACAUAGCUCCGCCUUCGCAACUUUGUUUAUGCAACGUAUUCUGAUAUUUUACUGGCGAUUUUCAAAAAAUCGCCAAGCAGGGGGCUAAAGCACAUUUUCACCAGCGACUGUAAUAUGCACUGAAGCUUUAGCUUUCCAAUCAUGGAUCCUCAUAUCAGAACAAUCUGUUUUGAUGUACAGAACUGGCCAAAGCUGUCAAGCUGGAAGACAGUCACAGGUAACUGGUACACCACUAAGUGGCUUCCAGAAAUUCUUUAAGAAGUGAAUGUUAGAGGACUCAUGCUUCAUCAUGACAAUGCAUCUUCUCAUUCAGCAAGAUUGACAGUUGAGUUCUUUAAACAAACUACAUCAAAGUGAUAGAACAUUCACCCUAUUUGCCCGAUCUAGCUAUGUGUAACUUUUGGCUACUUGUUAAUCAAAAAAUAACUUACAUGAAUGUUGUUUUCUUUCAGAAGAUGAUUUUGAUGAGGCUAUAAAUGCAUUUUUUUCAU